rnacentral:rRNA from 1 species
GGAUUAAUACCGCAUAAGAUUGUAGUAUCGCAUGAUAUAGCAAUUAAAGGAGCAAUCCGCUAUAAGAUGGACCCGCGUCGCAUUAGCUAGUUGGUGAGGUAAUGGCUCACCAAGGCGACGAUGCGUAGCCGACCUGAGAGGGUGAUCGGCCACAUUGGGACUGAGACACGGCCCAGACUCCUACGGGAGGCAGCAUG